rfam:Acidobacteria bacterium RIFCSPLOWO2_02_FTLL_60_20 rifcsplowo2_02_scaffold_63531, whole genome shotgun sequence.
CCCACGGCUUGCGCCGUGGGCUAAAAUCUGCCGCCCCUCCGGGGCU